rnacentral:rRNA from 1 species
CCUACGGGAGGCUGCAGUGAGGAAUAUUGGUCAAUGGCCGGAAGGCUGAACCAGCCAAGCCGCGUGAAGGACGAAGGUGCCAAGCAUUGUAAACUUCUUUUGUCAAGGGACAAAAUCAGGCUCGAGAGCCUGACCGAGGGUACUUGACGAAAAAGCAUCGGCUAACUACGUGCCAGCAGCCGCGGUAAUACGUAGGGGGCAAGCGUUAUCCGGAUUUAUUGGGUGUAAAGGGUGCGUAGACGGCAGUGCAAGUUAGGGGUGAAAGGCCGGGGCUCAACCCCGGAACUGCUCUGAAAACUGUACGGCUGGAGAGCAGGAGAGGUAAGUGGAAUUCCUAGUGUAGCGGUGAAAUGCGUAGAUAUUAGGAGGAACACCAGUGGCGAAGGCGGCUUACUGAACUGUAACUGACGUUGAGGCUCGAAAGCGUGGGGAGCAAACAGGAUUAGAUACCCCAGUAGUC